AACGCGAAGAACCUUACCUACCCUUGACAUGUCAGGAAUCCCGAAGAGAUUUGGGAGUGCCGCAAGGAACCUGAACACAGGUGCUGCAUGGCUGUCGUCAGCUCGUGUCGUGAGAUGUUGGGUUAAGUCCCGCAACGAGCGCAACCCUUGUCAUUAGUUGCCAUCAUUUAGUUGGGCACUCUAAUGAGACUGCCGGUGACAAACCGGAGGAAGGUGGGGAUGACGUCAAGUCCUCAUGGCCCUUAUGGGUAGGGCUUCACACGUCAUACAAUGGUCGGUACAGAGGGUCGCUAACCCGCGAGGGGGUGCCAAUCUCAGAAAGCCGAUCGUAGUCCGGAUCGUAGUCUGCAACUCGACUACGUGAAGUCGGAAUCGCUAGUAAUCGCGGAUCAGAAUGCCGCGGUGAAUACGUCCCGGGUUCUUGUACACACCG
rnacentral:rRNA from 1 species